ensembl:miRNA mdo-mir-7319 mdo-mir-7319
CCCCUCUCUGGGCCUCCUGUUUCCUCAUCUGUAAAAUGGGAAAGUUGGACUAGAGAUGGUGU